rnacentral:rRNA from 1 species
UACGUAGGGUGCGAGCGUUAAUCGGAAUUACUGGGCGUAAAGCGUGCGCAGGCGGUUUUGUAAGCCAGAUGUGAAAGCCCCGGGCUUAACCUGGGAAUGGCAUUUGGGACUGCAAGGCUAGAGUGCGGCAGAGGAGACUGGAAUUCCUGGUGUAGCAGUGAAAUGCGUAGAUAUCAGGAGGAAUACCGAUGGCGAAGGCAGGUCUCUGGGCCACUACUGACGCUGAGAAGCGAAAGCAUGGGGAGCGAACAGG